rnacentral:tRNA from 1 species
AGAGGAUUAGGUUAACCAAGACCAAGGGCCUUCAAAGCCCUAAGUAAACACAUAGUUUAUCCCCUG